GUGGGUUUGUGCCAGCCGAAGUUGCGUCAGGGCUACCAGGUCGGUGGAGGAUUGGGGGUGUUGCGAAAUUGGCAGAAACCUCUUUGCUCCUCUGGUAGGCAUUUGAAAACGUGGCUUGGGUCAGGCACAGUCGGCACCCCCACCUCCCGGUUCCCAGGUGUGGUUUGAUUUUCCUUGGCACUGACGGAAAUGUCACCCGUUUCCCCCUUCCACCGGCAUAUGCAUGGACCCCAC
rnacentral:lncRNA from 1 species